rnacentral:rRNA from 1 species
GAUGAACGCUGGCGGCGUGCCUAAUACAUGCAAGUCGAGCGAACAGACGAGGAGCUUGCUCCUUCGACGUUAGCGGCGGACGGGUGAGUAACACGUAGGUAACCUACCUAUAAGACUGGGAUAACUUCGGGAAACCGGAGCUAAUACCGGAUAAUAUUUCGAACCGCAUGGUUCGAUAGUGAAAGACGGCCUUGCUAUCACUUAUAGAUGGACCCGCGCCGUAUUAGCUAGUUGGUAAGGUAACGGCUUACCAAGGCAACGAUACGUAGCCGACCUGAGAGGGUGAUCGGCCACACUGGAACUGAGACACGGUCCAGACUCCUACGGGAGGCAGCAGUAGGGAAUCUUCCGCAAUGGGCGAAAGCCUGACGGAGCAACGCCGCGUGAGUGAUGAAGGUCUUCGGAUCGUAAAACUCUGUUAUUAGGGAAGAACAAACGUGUAAGUAACUGUGCACGUCUUGACGGUACCUAAUCAGAAAGCCACGGCUAACUACGUG